UUAUAGCGGCACAAACAGAGUAAGACUCCUGUUUGUGGACAUUUAUUUGAAUUCUUUCAAGUUUGAGGCAGUUAAAGUUGCUCUGAAGAAUAGUGCUGCUAAGCCUCCACCCAGCCUAAAAAGGUAUCUACUAAUACAAGUUUAGGCAUCAGAGUGAAAUUGCCAAUCAUCAUAAGGGUAGGUCUCAUAUGUUGGGUUUUCUGUGUUGCAGGUGUUUUGAGCACCUAAAAGGGAGAUCUGAGUUAUUUGUCAAACAGGGUCCUCUUAAAUGAGGUCCUACCAAAUCUAUUAAGGCAUUACACCCAUAAUGUGCAUAUUUAUGUAGGUGUCUCAUAAGAGGCCAAACCAAGGCUUCAGGCAGGAGAAUGAGUCCAUGAGAAUUCUGUCUCCACUUAGCUGUGCCAUGCCAAAUGUCAGAGUCCCAGUCUUUAGUUUUAAAUGGGGUUUAUUUUGAUCUAAAUCUAGCCAGGGCCUUUGAUAAGGCCCCAAGGAACAGAUCACCUUUAGUGACCUUAGCAGCUCUGUCAGUGGCCUGAUUUCUUUUUGUAACAUAAGUUUCUCUCUGUUGACCAGGACAGUGCAGGAUGGCCACCUGCUUGGGCUCAGCCAUGGCCUGUAUCAGGACUAUUUUAGUGGAAUAUUGAAUAUUUUUACUUUUGUGUCAUCAGGAGUUUCCUUUUUUUCCAAAUGGCACCAUGAGUAUGUAUGACCAUAAAAGCAUAUUUAGAGUCUAUAUAAAAGUUUACCUUUUUUCUCUGGAUAAUUUUUAUAAAGCUGCUCCCAUUGGUGAAAAGAUCUCAGUCUGGCUCUGGCAUCAGCUGAUACGACAGAUCCGUCCUGCUAGAAUAGACAGCCUCUAGAACCUCUAAACAGUCAUGUUGUAAAGGCUCAUUCUCUUGGGCUGGUAACAGGGUGGCAGGAUUGAGAGUAGACACAGUCUUUAAUAACAACUUGCAAGUGGCUGUUACUGUCCAGAGGCAAGGAGGCCAUCCUCUCACAAUAUUGUCCAGUGGCUUUGACAAGUAUGCCACUGGCCAUGGGAUGUCUUCCAGCACCUGUGCUAAGACUACUAAGGCUCAUUCCUUGUUUUCAGUGAUUGCAUAAUCUAAAUUCUUUCUGCAAGUCAGGCAACCGCAAAGCAGAAACAGUCAUAAGAUUCUGCUUUAGUUUUUCAAAGGCAUUUUGACAGUCUGUGAUCCAGAUCAGGGGCUCAAUAUAUGUCCUAUUAAGGCCCCUGUACAAGGGCUUUGUUAUUACUCUAAAGUUUGGGAUCCAGUUGUAACAGAACGCCGCCAUUCCUGGGAGCCCACAUAGUUACUAAUUUGGAAUCCCAGAUAAGAAACCAGCUGUUUGCAAAUCUGUCUAAUUGUAGGCUUUGCAAUUCCCCCAUUAAUUUCUCACCAAACAGGGCAGGAGAGCCUUUUUGAACCCAUGAGGCAACACAGUCUAACAGUGCCACAAGGCCACCCUAGUCUCAGGAUUCUGCCAUUCAUAUGUGACUGAGUACCAAUUCAUAGUCACUUGUACAGUAUCAUUAAUGGCAUGUAGAUCCUACAUGAAUCUAUACUCAUAGCUAUGGGGAAUUUAAAUUUUUUCUUUAUGUCUCGGGGUCCCAUCAGCCCAUACAGCCUUACUCACUUUUGAUAGAUUUCUUUUCAUAAAUGUUGUAAUGAUGUGCAGGUCUGCUGAGGCCCAAACUUUAAAGCAAACUGCUCCACAAUGGCAGUCUCUUGUAUGUCUCACCAGGCCCUGGUAUUCAUCCAGCAGGAUCUUGGUGAUGCCCCCAGAGGCCUUUGUUUCUGUUACAGUUGUGGAGGGCCCAUCCUGGCUUCUGUGUGUCCACAUCCCUCUGCCACCUGGUCCCCUGGCAUCCUUGGGGGGAGAAAGCAGCACUAAGAUUCACUGAGCAGACUGAGGUCAGCCUCUGCCUUCUGCUGUGCCUACCUGCACUGGCCCUAUCUUGCCUGAAGUCCUCAAAUGGAGGAAAGUAGAGGCUAGGAGGGGAGUGCUCCUAUCCCCAAGGCUGAGCCCAGAGGGGCAGGCACAGCUAAUCUCUGCCCCAGCCUUUAGCAGGCAGGGAGGGGCUCCAGGCAGGGUCAUCUGUUCCCUACCAUGAGAGACAGAGGGGCCAAUCUCCCCACCUCUAAACCCAGGGCCCAAAACUUCCUGGCCUGCUUUGGGAGUGUGAGGCUGCUUGGCUCCCACAUUCUUAGAGCCCAGGGGGAAUUUCUGCCCUAAGAGGCCUGGGUAAACCCAUCUGUCACUGUUGCACAAAGUUCAAGGCAGAGACAUAACAAGGAAAGGAGGAGUGUUUGGAAUGCAUGUCUGGGGGAAAUCGGCUGUUCUAGUUAUUACACAAUGCCCAAGGGAGUGACGCCAGAGCAAACCUCUAAGUACCUGAGAACACAUGAACCUGUUUGGGAAAUGCAGCCAUCCAUUGGCCAUGGGCACAAUGAUAAUGAUUGAUGGAUCCUGUUACAGGAAUAGCUAUGAAAUGGAUCAAUCUUGAUCUGGAUGUGUUGUAUUAUGCCAAUGGUGUGUGUAAGACAGAAAACAUAGCUGUGUUUAUCUGGAAAUAUGUCUUCCUGUGGGAGUUUUCUUAAUAAAGAAAAAGUGCAUGAAAAUGACA